GCCUAUGGGCAUACCACCCUGCGUAAUCUUAUGUGAUCUUGAAAGCUAAACUACAUUGGGCCUGGUUAGUACUUGGAUGGGCGACUGCCUGGGAAUAACAGGUGUUGUAUAGACU
rnacentral:rRNA from 1 species